UCCCCUCAUCCCCAUUUAGAUCCAAAAACUCUUACCCCAAAAAAUUAAAAAUUGCAAAAGAUCAAAAGUUCCCCCCAAAAUUUUAAAACCCAUUUAAUAAAAACCUAGAUAUCCUUUCCACUCUUCCCAUAUCCUUCUUGUCCGCCCCUUCCCCCUUUGUUCGAUUUUUUUGCUUCUAAUGUUUUGUUAUUUUUUUUUUGUAGGUUUUACAUAGCAUUCUCCAAGCAGAUGAGAUAAGUUAUCACAAUAUGAAGUUUUUGUUUACUCAGUCGUAUGAUCUAAAUUUUCUAUUAUGUAUAGGUUCAAGAAAAGAUUGAACCACAAAUAAUUUAUCAUACACAAUUAUAUUUUAUAUUUUGCAAGAGAUUAUUGUCCUAGUUUGAGUCAAUGGAUAUUACAAUGGAUUGUAUAUGUUUAUUAAUUUAAAAGAAAUUUUCUGAUUAGGUAUGAGUUUUAUAAUUGAUACUAAAAUUUGAGAUCUAUAUCUAUAGGUUAUAAGAAGUUUAAAAGUUACAGGUUUGCUUGCUCCUUUGUUUUCUUUGUAUUUUUGUUAUUUGCUAAACAUUUUUGUAAAAAAAUGAUCAUAGACAAUUAUAUUUUUUCCUUGAAAUUUUAAAUCAUUACAUUCUUGGUGCUAAAAUAUUUACCAUUAUUGAUAGGCAUAUUUAUGGAAUAAGGGCAUAUAAAUGACAAAUUGGAACCGAUAUUGAUCAAGCUAAGGUGCAAUUAAAGAUUGUGGACGGAAAGAUAGGUGAAGACUAUGUUGCUUUGGACUCAAACAAGAUGAUGUCUUACAAGAAUUGUAUAUUAUGGCUAUUCACAAAAUUUUAGAAUGCAAUUAUAUGUAAGUUGAGAAUUAUUUUGGAAUCUCAAAAAUGUAUUCAUGGUUAC
rnacentral:lncRNA from 1 species